GCAUAUCAAUAAGCGGAGGAAAAGAAACUAACAAGGAUUCCCCUAGUAACGGCGAGUGAAGCGGGAUGAGCUCAAAUUUGUAAUCUGGUGGACUCAGUUCAUCCGAGUUGUAAUCUAUAGAAGUGUUUUCCGCGCUGGACCGUGUCUAAGUCCCUUGGAACAGGGUGUCAGAGAGGGUGAGAAUCCCGUGCUUGAUACGACCACCAGUGCUAUGUGAUACACUUUCAACGAGUCGAGUUGUUUGGGAAUGCAGCUCAAAAUGGGUGGUAAAUUCCAUCUAAAGCUAAAUAUUGGCGAGAGACCGAUAGCGAACAAGUACCGUGAGGGAAAGAUGAAAAGCACUUUGGAAAGAGAGUUAAACAGUACGUGAAAUUGUUAAAAGGGAAACGAUUGAAGUCAGUCGUGCUCUCUGGGACUCAGCCGGUUCUUCCGGUGUACUUCCCAGUGAGCGGGUCAACAUCAGUUUAGAUCGCUGGAUAAAGGUAUUAGGAAGGUGGCUCCCUCGGGAGUGUUAUAGCCUAGA
rnacentral:rRNA from 1 species